AUUGAACGCUGGCGGCAGGCCUAACACAUGCAAGUCGAGCGGAGGAAGGUAGUUUUCUCCUGGAUUCAGCGGCGGACGGGUGAGUAAUUCCUAGGAAUCUGCCUGGUAGUGGAGGAUAACGCCCGGAAACGGGCGGAAAUAUCGCAUACGUUAUGAAGGAGAAAGUGGGGGUUCUUCGGACCUAACUCUAUCUGAUGAGCCUAGGUCGGAUUAGGUAGUUGGUUGGGUAAAGGCCUACGAAGACGACGAUCCGUGACUGGCCUGAGAGGAUGAUCAGUGACUCUGGAACUGAGACACGCUCCAGCCUCCUAGGGGAGGAACGAGUGGGGAAUUUUGGACAUUGGGCGAAAGCCUGAUGCAGCCAUGCCCGGUAUAUUAGGAAGGUCUUCGGUCUUUAAACCACUUUAAGUUGGGAGGACGGUCAUUAAGUUAGUAACCUGAUGUUUUGACGUUACCAACAGAGUAAGCACCGGCUAACUUCGUG
rnacentral:rRNA from 1 species